GACGAACGCUGGCGGCGUGCUUAACACAUGCAAGUCGAACGGAAAGGCCCUGCUUUUGUGGGGUGCUCGAGUGGCGAACGGGUGAGUAACACGUGAGUAACCUGCCCUUGACUUUGGGAUAACUUCAGGAAACUGGGGCUAAUACCGGAUAGGAGCUCCUGCUGCAUGGUGGGGGUUGGAAAGUUUCGGCGGUUGGGGAUGGACUCGCGGCUUAUCAGCUUGUUGGUGGGGUAGUGGCUUACCAAGGCUUUGACGGGUAGCCGGCCUGAGAGGGUGACCGGGGACAUGGGGACUGAGGUAGGGCCCAGACUGGUACGGGAGGCAGCAGGGGGGAAUAUUGCGGAGUGGGCGGGAGCGUGAGGCAGCAACGCCGGGUGCGGGAUGACGGCCUUCGGGUUGUAAACCGCUUUCGCCUGUGACGAAGCGUGAGUGACGGUAAUGGGUAAAGAAGCACCGGCUAACUACGUG
rnacentral:rRNA from 1 species